GUAUGGAUUUUACCUUGGAGCAAAUCAUUUCCCCUGUUUCCUGAGCCUGAAUUUGAUCCUGAUCCUGGCCUAGCCCAUGGACUUUCCAGGCUGGUGGGAAGGAAGGGCCUUAGAGGAUCAAAAGGGGUUAUAUGGCAGCUGCCACUUCAUCCUGCACUCAGGAGGAAGAUACAUGAAAGCCACUUCUUACUCCUCCUAAACGCUCUAUCCUACUCUAAGAGGGCAGUGAUGCCUGGCUCUGCAGGCAUUUUGAGAUCACAAGCUGUGCACUCACAGAGAAGAGCAGCCUGCAAGGAAGCAGAGUCUCGUAAGCUUCCGUCUCACUACACAGCUGAUGUACCCUGGAACUCCUCUUCAUCCUGCCUCCACCUCCUGAGUGCUGGGAUUACAG